ACUUUAAGACAUCUUAGUUAUUUUGUUAGUUUCUUAGGAAUAUUUCACAUUAAGUAUUUGCAAACAUUGAAUUCAAUAUAGUUAUGCUUAAUAAAUGCUAAAAAAAACAUAUUUAUAUGUAAGUAAUUGAGAACUCUCGUAAGUCUGUUUUCCCAAUAACCCUCAUCUACCAAAGGUAUUUUGCGUAGAGUUGUCUUCUUGUGACAGAAGGUAAUAUCAUACUCUGUUUGCGACUGUGAAAUGUCAACGCCAAUUUUCGGUAAUAUAUCAGCACCUUUUAUUUCCUUUGGCUUAGACAUUUAUACAAAAUCAAAAUUACAUAAUUAGUUCAAUCGCUAUACAACAACCAGUAACUUGUUCUAAAGAAAAUACAAUAUUUAUUAACACAUGUAAGCAAAUCAAAUGUUUGAACUGUGCCUUUUUCAAAUGGGUACUGUAUGUCUAUCUCCCUAUUCUUUUGAUAACUUGUAAGUUUAUGAUUUUGAAAAAUUCAUAACCAUGUCAAAGAAAAUAUAUCUUUUUUGUAUAUUCCAAUAAUUAGGAUUAGAGUAAACGUCCGAAUAGAGUAGUAUGGUUUGUUACAGAGAAGGGAAUUUCAUUUAUGUAUACAAAAAAUGUAUAACCAGUUUUAUUUUUGUCUCUUUAGUUUUCGAAAUUCUAAAAUAUUUCAUGUGGGCUUCCUUUUUGGAAAUAUAGUAACUUAUUGAUAAGAGUAUCUUAAAAUAAUGUGUGAUUUUUUACAUAUAUAUGUUAACUCAUUUAUUGUCAACGUAAUAACUGAUAUCUAUUUUACCUUUUUUUACUGUAUUUGUCUUGGAUGAUGUAUUGCUUAAAUGGUUUUUUUUUUUAUUUCAUUGUAAAUAAACAUCAAUUUUUCA
rnacentral:lncRNA from 1 species